UUCGACAACACUGAAGUGAAUAUCCAGGUCUUAGGGCUGUGGCAGAAUUCAGAUCUGCUGAGGUGGCAAUUCAGGUGUCAGCGAAAGGACCACCAAAGAGACCAUUACUGAGACUAGGAGUCCCUGAAAGUGCAGCAGACAAAAAAGAGAAGUUCAAGGCAAGCAGGGAGAAGGCGGAGAUGCAAAAGACACCAGUCCUUAAGGUGGGGAGCCCACUUCCGGGACGUGAGGGCCCCCUUCCGGGUGAGGGCCCAGGUGAGUCAAGGGCGGGCAGAAGUGGGCGUGGGGGUAGCGGGCGGAGCGUCCUCCCCGCGACGCAGCUGAGUCCCUUCCGGCUCCCUCGGGGUUCGCUUCGAGAGUUGACGGUGCGCCUCCCAGCGGACUCUUUCCCUCGGAACGGAACAGCGUUUUUCCUCCCAGGGAAAGGAAAAAGGAGCGGCUUUCCGUUGCGUUGGAAGGACAACAGAUCCUGCACGGUCCUUAAUUUCUUAUUUAUGACUUAUUCCGCUCCUUCCAGUCCUCUACAAUUAAGAAAGAAAAAAAGAAAACCAACGUUGACCCCGACGUGACUUGAACACGCAACCUUCUGAUCUGGAGUCAGACGCGCUACCAUUGCGCCACGAGGUCACAGCGAACCGGCGACUCCGCGUCACUAAAGACCUCGCUUCCCCAGCAAGGUCCUCGGGCUGGGAGACUCCAGAGGGAAGACGCCCUCUUUCCUGAAUUCCAGCAUUAACUUAGAGCGCUGGCGAGGGUCGUUUCCCGGGUGUGGGAACGCGGAUGCGCUGGGGCACCCGGCCUGAACUGGGGCGCCGCAGCGGAGCCGCCACCCGGCGGCCGAACCUCGGGCUCCGCCUCCUCCGCGUCUGGGAGUGAGCCGGCGAGGGGACGCCGGGGGCUUGAUGUCUUAAAGAAAAGGAAAGAUCUGGCCUGAGCAGUGGCUCAUGGCUUUAAUCCCAGCUACUCUGGAGGCUGAGGCAGGGAGUUGCUUGAACCCCGAAGGCUGAGGUCACGGUGAGCUGAGAUUGCACCAUGGCAUGCCAGCGUGGGCAAGAAGAGUGAAACUCUGCCGCAAAAGAGAGAAGAUUUACACACUCCUGAUCUGACAAAUUCCAACUAGAACUUGAAAACUGAACCCUGAAGGGAAAAGGCAUGCUGCCACAUGGAGUGGGUUAUCACUACCACCCCACUGAAGGCUUGAGGGACAGCCUUGCUUGAGGCUGCUUUCUCUGGAAGAAGUAUCUGUUGAGACAGUGAUUUCGGGAGUAACACUUGUGAAGGGAAAUGGGAGUCAGCCAGGUUGGCAGGGAGACCCGUUAGGCCAAGGUGCAGAUGUACAAACUAUCUCUAAAUGCCUCUACUCUCUGCCUGCCUGUGGGGAGUUCUGUUAGAGGAAUCCCAAGUCCCAUGGAAAUGGCUUGCCCCGUGCCACCACAUUGCUCAGUCACAGGCCAGGGCCAGGGCCACUCCUGCAGGAAAGCUGUGGUGGGCAAAGGCCAGCUGCAGGCUGUCUGCUAACUGCCCUUCUACGGCUGGACAGCAAGUUCUCCCCUGGAAGAGGACCUGAGGGCCACAGCUGGGCUCUGCCAUGGCAUGCAAUAUACAUUACAUUUGCAGAUUUUUCCCUCUGCUUUUUUUUUUUUUUUUUUUUUUUGAGACGGAGUUUCGCUCUUGUUACCCAGGCUGGAGUGCAAUGGCGCGAUCUCGGCUCACCGCAACCUCCGCCUCCUCAGUUCAGGCAAUUCUCCUGCCUCAGCCUCCUGAGCAGCUGAGAUUACAGGCACGCGCCACCAUGCCCGGCUAAUUUUUUGUAUUUUUAGUAGAGACGGGGUUUCACCGUGUUGACCAGGAUGGUCUCGAUCUCUUGACCUCGUGAUCCACCUGCCUCGGCCUCCCAAAGUGCUGGGAUUACAGGCUUGAGCCACCGCGCCCGGCCUCCCUCUUUGUUUUUUAACCAUCUUUGAUGUCCUACUUCAAGCACCAAUCCCAGUUAUGAGUGCCCAACUGACAGAGGACUCCAGAUUCCUGGGAGUGAAGUUUCUGGAUCAUCUUCUCCAGCUCUCCUGCUCCCUGCUAACAGGGAAUUUAGCCCAAAGGAAAGAAAGGAACUCGUUUUCCAUUCUUCUAAAUCCCAACACCAGCUAAUUAUGUCACUCUUCAGGAAAGAUCCGUUGAAACUGGUGGCAUGCCUUCAGUUUCCAUCAGAAAUCCUGACUGUGAGUCAGUGUGGCCUCAUUCGGAGCCCCAGACAGAGGGCAGCCUCCACCAGGCUGCAGCCACCUGACUAAAAAGGCCAGUCUGAAGGCCGUGAUGGGGAGAUGCAGGAAGAGCGAAGUGGAAUCUGGCUGCUACAUGGGGGUAAAAAUGCAGAUUCAGUGAGUUUGUGAAUAUUGGGCAUUUAGAUUUUCAUGAUGAUUUUGUUUGAUGCCAGGUUUUCAUUCAUUUCAUGUGUUAUGCCUCAAAGCCCUCAAAUGGGAAAGAAACCCUCUCUUAAAAUGGAAAAUCCAAAAUGAUCACAAGUGGAAACAGUUGCCUUGUCUUCUGUCUCUGUCUGUCCCCCUUUUAAGGCUUCUGUGACCUAUUCAGCUUUGGUUUUUCUGAGGACGUGAUUCAGUUUAAACAUGUGUAAAUGUGGCUGAACAGUCAGGGCCUAAACUCUUUCAGUGGCCUGUCUGAUGAGUGCCAUGUGUGUUCCGUGGUCCAAAGACACUGGAGUGAUUUGGAUGCCUGUGGACCCAGAGAAAGGGAAUGCUGGGAGUGGAAAGUACUGUGUCUGCUGGGGUAAUAGCUUGUGAAUGCAACUGCAAGGGGUGAGGGUUCUGUCCAGCCAGGCCCUAUUUGACAAUAAAUGUGACUUUUUCCAUUUAUCUUUGCCCCCAUGACAAUUUUGGCUGAACUUGUCUUUGGAGAUGAUUUUCAGCCUAGAGACCUGCACUCAAGACUUUAUUAAACCCCAAACCCACACUUCUUUAAUGCUCACAAAAUGCAGCUGAUGGUGAGUGUGGCUUAUUAGUGAGGGCUGUGUACAGAGAGAGAGGUUCAGUGGCCGACAGAGCUCUGUGAUUCUUCAACAUUGAUUAAUAUGAUGCUGUCUUUUUUGGACCACCACAGCUGUCUUCCAACCUGAUAUAUGAUAUUAAUUGUAAAAGAGAGAGCUUUGUCCUAAUUGGGAUGUUAUUUUGUUUUAUUUUGAGACAGAGUCUCACUUUGUCACCCAGGCUGGAGUGCAGUGGCUCAAUCUCAGCUCACUGCAACCUCUGCCUCCCCGGUUCAAGUGAUUCUUAUGCCUCGGCCUUCUCAGUUGCUG